rnacentral:sRNA from 1 species
CUGCUCGACGACGGUCGGCGAGAUGAAGUGGAUGUGCGCGUCGAUGGCCCCGGCGGUGACGAUCUUGCCGUUGCCCGCGAUGACCUCCGUCUCCGGGCCGAUGACGAGGUCGGGGUGGACGCCGUUCAUGGUGUCGGGGUUCCCGGCCUUGCCGAUGCCGGUGAUCCGGCCGUCGCGGAUGCCGAUGUCGGCCUUGACGAUGCCCCAGUGGUCGACGAUGACGGCGCCGGUGAUGACGGUGUCGGGGGCACCCUCGGCACGCGUCGUACGG